rnacentral:sRNA from 1 species
GCCGGGCAUGGUGGCUCAUGCCUGUAAUCCUAGCACUUUUAGAGGCCGAGGUGGGUGGAUCACCUGAGGUCAGGAGUUCAAGACCAGCCUGGCCAUAACGGUGAAACCCCAUCUUUUUAAAAAAAAAAAAAAAAUUAUAAAAUAUUGCCAGGCACCAUGUGGCUCACGCCUGUAAUCUCAGGACUUUGGGAGGCCGAGGCAUAUGGAUCACUUGAGGUCAGGAGUUCAAGACCAGCCUGACCAACAUGGUGAAAACCCAUCUCU